UAUUGCCUGGUUGACUAAUGCUGC
rnacentral:siRNA from 1 species